GACGUCAAAUCAUCAUGCCCCUUAUGUCUUGGGCUUCACGCAUGCUACAAUGGCCGGUACAAAGGGCUGCGAUACCGCAAGGUGGAGCGAAUCCCAAAAAGCCGGGCUCAGUUCGGAUCGGGGUCUGCAACUCGACCCCGUGAAGUCGGAGGCGCUAGUAAUCGCAGAUCAGCAACGCUGCGGUGAAUACGUUCCCGGGCCUUGUACACACCGCCCGUCAAGUCAUGAAAGUCGGUAACACCCGAAGCCGGUGGCCCAACCUUUGGGGGGGAGCCGUCGAAGGUGGGACUGGCGAUUAGGACUAAGUCGUAACAAGGUAGCCGUACCGGAAGGUGCGGCUGGAUCACCUCCUUUCUAAGGAG
rnacentral:rRNA from 1 species